AACUUCUUUUGCAGGGGAAUAAAGUGCAGGACGUGUCCUGUUUUGCAUGUACCGUGAGAAUAAGGAUCGGCUAACUCCGUGCCAGCAGCCGCGGUAAUACGGAGGAUCCGAGCGUUAUCCGGAUUUAUUGGGUUUAAAGGGUGCGUAGGUGGUUUGAUAAGUCAGCGGUGAAAGUUUGCAGCUUAACUGUAAAAAUGCCGUUGAAACUGUCUGACUUGAGUGUAAAUGAGGUAGGCGGAAUGCGUGGUGUAGCGGUGAAAUGCAUGCAU
rnacentral:rRNA from 1 species